rnacentral:rRNA from 1 species
GGUGAACCUGAGGAAGGAUCAUUC